rnacentral:rRNA from 1 species
CGGCGGACGGGUGAGUAACGCGUAGGAAUCUACCUGGUAGUGGGGGACAACUUGGGGAAACUCAAGCUAAUACCGCAUACGCCCUAAGGGGGAAAGCGGGGGAUCUUCGGACCUCGCGCUAUUGGAUGAGCCUGCGUAGGAUUAGCUUGUUGGUGAGGUAAAGGCUCACCAAGGCGACGAUCCUUAGCUGGUCUGAGAGGAUGAUCAGCCACACUGGGACUGAGACACGGCCCAG